rnacentral:rRNA from 1 species
GACGAACGCUGGCGGCGUGCUUAACACAUGCAAGUCGAACGGAAAGGCCUGCUUUCCCUUGUGGAUUGCGGGUACUCGAGUGGCGAACGGGUGAGUAACACGUGAGUGAUCUGCCCCCAACUUGGGUAUAAGCCUGGGAAACUGGGUCUAAUUCCCGAUAGGACUGCAGGGUGGUGCCUGUGGUGGAAAACGAUUUUCUAGUGGUUGGGGAUGAGCUCGCGGCGUAUCAGCUUGUUGGUGGGGUAAUGGCCUACCAAGGCGGCGACGGGUAGCCGGCCUGGGAGGGUGAACGGCCGCAUUGGGACUGGGAUACGGCCCAGACUGCUACGGGAGGCAGCAGUGGGGAGUAAUGCACAAUGGGCGGAAGCCUGAUGCAGCGACGCCGCGUGGGGGAUGACGGCCUUCGGGUUGUAAACUCCUUUCGACCGCGAGGAAGCCACCUGGUUGGAAGGGUGGUGACGGUAGUGGUAGAAGAAGCACCGGCUAACUACGUG